rnacentral:rRNA from 1 species
UACGUAGGGGGCUAGCGUUAUCCGGAAUUACUGGGCGUAAAGGGUGCGUAGGUGGUUUCUUAAGUCAGAGGUGAAAGGCUACGGCUCAACCGUAGUAAGCCUUUGAAACUGGGAAACUUGAGUGCAGGAGAGGAGAGUGGAAUUCCUAGUGUAGCGGUGAAAUGCGUAGAUAUUAGGAGGAACACCAGUUGCGAAGGCGGCCCUCUGGACUGUAACUGACACUGAGGCACGAAAGCGUGGGGAGCAAACAGGAUUAGAUACCCCCGUAGUCCCUGAGCGGGCU